rnacentral:rRNA from 1 species
UACGUAGGGUGCGAGCGUUGUCCGGAAUUAUUGGGCGUAAAGGGCUCGUAGGCGGUCUGUUGCGUCAGGAGUGAAAACUCGGGGCUUAACCCCGAGCCUGCUUCUGAUACGGGCAGACUAGAGGUAUGCAGGGGAGAACGGAAUUCCUGGUGUAGCGGUGAAAUGCGCAGAUAUAGGAGGAACACCGGUGGCGAAGGCGGUUCUCUGGGCAUUACCUGACGCUGAGGAGCGAAAGUGUGGGGAGCGAACAGG